GGGGGUGCACGGUUUCGACUUGAAGAUUAGGGGAAGUGGUUGCAUGCCGUAGGGGUAAGGCCGAACGUAUCCGGGCUUACAAAAAACAAAAGCAAACACACAAGUUGCUUACGCAAACACACCUGAAUUAGUUUCUGUAAACUAAUCAGGGCCUUUAGGUUUCUUGUUUCAGGAGAUUUAAGGGCUCAUUUUUGAGACUCGGAAUAAACCUUUAGCUUUGUGGGUUUAUUCUUAAAAAAUUCAAAGUUGCUUCUCGGAGAAUCCAGCCUUUUGGAGUCUCCAGAAAAAGAUAAACAUAAGGCUAAGCAUGUAGGAGCUGUUCUUCAACCCUCCAAGGACGCGGGUUCGACUCCCGCCACCUCCACUU
rnacentral:tmRNA from 1 species